UGCAGAGGUCCCAAGCGUUGUUCGGAUUCACUGGGCGUAAAGGGUGCGUAGGUGGUUGGGUAAGUCUGAUGUGAAAUCUCCGGGCUCAACCCGGAAAUGGCAUUGGAUACUAUUCGGCUAGAGGUUUGGAGGGGGGACUGGAAUUCUCGGUGUAGCAGUGAAAUGCGUAGAUAUCGAGAGGAACACCAGUGGCGAAGGCGAGUCCCUGGACAACACCUGACACUGAGGCACGAAAGCGUGGGGAGCAAACAGG
rnacentral:rRNA from 1 species